rnacentral:lncRNA from 1 species
UUUGCUUGAGAAGCAUUGGACAAGAGUUGUCCACUCAUCGGCUUGCAUAUCACCAAUAACUGUUAGGUGAGGUGGUACGUUAAACUGGUGGGACCGCAGUACCCACUUGAAACCUUUUGUCCCGUUGGGUUUCCGUUUCUCUACCCGAGGAGUGUAAGAGACUCGAGAAAAUAGUGGGAGGCUAAAUUUAUUGUUUUUAAAAAUUCCUAAAAUAAUUUUUCAAAACAAAUACAAAUAUCUAAUUUUGAAUCUUUACUCUCUGCAGAACAAAAUGUUCGCUUCCAAUCCUCUCUCUCGAAUUCUUGAAUCAAACCGUUUAAUUGGAACUAA